rnacentral:lncRNA from 1 species
CCUGGCUGCCGAGGAGCUCAGCAGACUUGUUUAAAACUGAGACUGGUGACUGAACGAAAAAAAAAUGUGACAGAAACCUGUACUGGGGCCCUUACCUGGGCCAGGCCAGGAUGAGGGAUACAUAGGUCAACAUCCUACGGAGCCUCUCACCAGGAGCUCAGGUAAGAGAGCAGAGACCGUCAUUAAGCUUCCAAAGAAAUGAAAUGCCCAAGAAUGCAUCUGGCUAUAAGCAUCAAAGAAGAUAGUUGCAAUUCGUUUGUGCGGAAUGUCCAUGAAGUGGUGACCUACAAACCCAGCCUCCAAGUCCCAGCACCAGCAGUAGUUCAUGAACCGCACAAAACAAGCCCGUAGGAAGUCCCCCAGCAGGAUGGUGAUGUACGUUACCAGCAUGUCGGACACCGUCAGCCUCAUGAAUUCCUGCAGAGGAACACAGGAAGAGGGGGUGGUUGCAGACCUUGCCCACUUCUCCCACCCUCCCUGAGAGUUUGUUGAGAGUCUAAUAAACUCUCC